CCUACGGGAGGCAGCAGUGGGGGAUAUUGGACAAUGGGGGGAACACUGAUCCAGCGACGCCGCGUGAGUGAAGAAGUAUUUCGGUAUGUAAAGCUCUGUCAGCAGGGAAGAAAGAAAUGACGGUACCUGACCAAGAAGCCCCGGCUAACUACGUGUCAGCAGCCGCGGUAAUACGUAGGGGGCAAGCGUUAUCCGGAAUUACUGGGUGUAAAGGGAGCGUAGACGGUUAAGUAAGUCUGGAGUGAAAGGCCGGGGCUCAACCCCGGGACUGCUCUGGAAACUAUUUAACUUGAGUGCAGGAGAGGUAAGCGGAAUUCCUAGUGUAGCGGUGAAAUGCGUAGAUAUUAGGAGGAACACCAGUGGCGAAGGCGGCUUACUGGACUGUAACUGACGUUGAGGCUCGAAAGCGUGGGGAGCAAACAGGAUUAGAUACCCCUGUAGUC
rnacentral:rRNA from 1 species